UACAGAGGUCUCAAGCGUUGUUCGGAUUCAUUGGGCGUAAAGGGUGCGUAGGCGGCGCGGUAAGUCGGGUGUGAAAGCUCGGAGCUCAACUCCGAAAUGGCAUUGGAAACUACCUUGCUUGAGGGUUGGAGGGGGGACUGGAAUGCUUGGUGUAGCAGUGAAAUGCGUAGAUAUCAAGCGGAACACCAGUGGCGAAGGCGAGUCCCUGGACAACUCCUGACACUGAGGCACGAAAGCUAGGGGAGCAAACAGG
rnacentral:rRNA from 1 species